GACGAACGCUGGCGGCGUGCCUAGUACAUGCAAGUAGAACGCUGAAGGAGGAGCUUGCUCUUCUGGAUGAGUUGCGAACGGGUGAGUAACGCGUAGGUAACCUGCCUGGUAGCGGGGGAUAACUAUUGGAAACGAUAGCUAAUACCGCAUAACAGUAGAUGUUGCAUGACAUUUGCUUAAAAGGUGCAAUUGCAUCACUACCAGAUGGACCUGCGUUGUAUUAGCUAGUUGGUGGGGUAACGGCUCACCAAGGCGACGAUACAUAGCCGACCUGAGAGGGUGAUCGGCCACACUGGGACUGAGACACGGCCCAGACUCCUACGGGAGGCAGCAGUAGGGAAUCUUCGGCAAUGGACGGAAGUCUGACCGAGCAACGCCGCGUGAGUGAAGAAGGUUUUCGGAUCGUAAAGCUCUGUUGUAAGAGAAGAACGAGUGUGAGAGUGGAAAGUUCACACUGUGACGGUAUCUUACCAGAAAGGGACGGCUAACUACGUG
rnacentral:rRNA from 1 species